AGUCUAAAGCAAGACAGUUGAUUUCGACUCAACAAACCAUAGCCCAC
rnacentral:tRNA from 1 species